rnacentral:rRNA from 1 species
GAUGAACGCUGGCGGCGUGCCUAAUACAUGCAAGUCGAGCGAACAGACGAGGAGCUUGCUCCUUUGACGUUAGCGGCGGACGGGUGAGUAACACGUGGAUAACCUACCUAUAAGACUGGGAUAACUUCGGGAAACCGGAGCUAAUACCGGAUAAUAUAUUGAACCGCAUGGUUCAAUAGUGAAAGACGGUUUUGCUGUCACUUAUAGAUGGAUCCGCGCCGCAUUAGCUAGUUGGUAAGGUAACGGCUUACCAAGGCAACGAUGCGUAGCCGACCUGAGAGGGUGAUCAGCCACACUGGAACUGAGACACGGUCCAGACUCCUACGGGAGGCAGCAGUAGGGAAUCUUCCGCAAUGGGCGAAAGCCUGACGGAGCAACGCCGCGUGAGUGAUGAAGGUCUUCGGAUCGUAAAACUCUGUUAUUAGGGAAGAACAAAUGUGUAAGUAACUAUGCACGUCUUGACGGUACCUAAUCAGAAAGCCACGGCUAACUACGUG